rnacentral:rRNA from 1 species
UACGUAGGGUCCGAGCGUUGUCCGGAUUUACUGGGCGUAAAGCGCGCGCAGGUGGUCCAUUAAGCCCGGCGUGAAAGCCCCCGGCUCAACCGGGGAGGGUCGUCGGGGACUGGUGGACUUGAGGGCGGCAGGGGCUGGUGGAAUCCCCGGUGUAGUGGUGAAAUGCGUAGAGAUCGGGGGGAACACCAGUGGCGAAGGCGGCCAGCUGGGCCGACCCUGACACUGAGGCGCGAAGGCGUGGGGAGCGAACGGG